rfam:Chlamydomonas reinhardtii strain CC-503 cw92 mt+ CHLREscaffold_28 genomic scaffold, whole genome shotgun sequence.
GCGGAUGUGGCGCAGCUGGUUAGCGCGUAGGUCUCAUAUGCAAAUAUGACCACUCGUCGGGUGGGGCAUCCUAAGGUCAUGAGUUCGAACCUCAUCAUCCGCA